rnacentral:misc_RNA from 1 species
GAUGAAGAACGUAGCGAAAUGCGAUAAGUAAUGUGAAUUGCAGAAUUCAGUGAAUCAUCGAAUCUUUGAACGCACAUUGCGCCCGCUAGUAUUCUGGCGGGCAUGCCUGUCCGAGCGUCAUUUCAACCCUCAAGCCCCCGGGCUUGGUGUUGGGGAUCGGCGAGCCUCCGCGCCCGCCGUCCCCUAAAUCUAGUGGCGGUCUCGCUGUAGCUUCCUCUGCGUAGUAGCACACCUCGCACUGGGAAACAGCGCGGCCACGCCGUUAAACCCCCAACUUCUGAACGUUUGACCUCGGAUCAGGUAGGAAUACCCGCUGAACUUAAGCAUAUCAAUAAGCGGA